UCGGGGCACAUCUGUCCUCCUUUUGUGAAAAGGCAGAGCCCAGUUUCCCAGAAGUCUUUUGUGUCCUACUCUGUAGGGGGUAGGAAUAUGUAAUGUGAGUAGGAAGAAAGAAAUAUGAACAUAAAAUUAACCAAAAAUGUGUUAAUGCUUCCACAAAGUUGUAGAUUUGCUCUCCAGGGCAUACAUGGUGCAAUGGGAAUUGCAAAUACAGUGAAGAAUAUGGCCUUUUGCAUUUUUUUUUUUUGGUCUGACCUGGAUAAAAUAGAGUUAAUAGUAUUAGUUGUCUCAAUAGGCAUCCUGCAUCCAGAAACUUGUUUGUGAAGAUAUACAAGAGGCAGUAAUAGUCUAACUAAAAAAGAUUUGAUUAUAAUAAAUUCUCACUUCUAUCCAUUUUUGUCUCUUCUUGCUCCUUUCUUUGAUGGUUUGGUCAAGCU